rnacentral:rRNA from 1 species
GACGAACGCUGGCGGCGUGCUUAACACAUGCAAGUCGAACGGGGAUAUUGUAAUGAAGUUACUUGUAAUGGAAUUUAAAUAUCCUAGUGGCGAACGGGUGAGUAACGCGUGAGGACUUACCCAUUUCCGGGGGAUAACAGUUGGAAACAGCUGCUAAUACCGCAUAAGCCUAAGGGUAAAAGAAGUAAUUCGGGAAUGGAGAGACUCGCGUCCGAUCAGCUAGUAGGUGAGAUAAGAGCUUACCUAGGCGAAGACGGGUAACCGGACUGAGAGGUCGAACGGUGACACUGGAACUGGAACACGGUCCAGACUCCUACGGGAGGCAGCAGUGGGGAAUUUUGGGCAAUGGGGGGAACCCUGACCCAGCGACGCCGCGUGAGUGAAGAAAUUCCUCGGAAUGUAAAGCUCUGUUGUAUGGGAAGAUAAUGACGGUACCAUACGAGGAAGCCCCGGCAAACUACGUGCCAGCCGCCGCCGUAA